GAUGAACGCUGGCGGUGUGCCUAAUACAUGCAAGUCGAGCGAACAGACGAGGAGCUUACUCCUCUGACGUUAGCGGCGGACGGGUGAGUAACACGUGGAUAACCUACCUAUAAGACUGGGAUAACUUCGGGAAACCGGAGCUAAUACCGGAUAACAUGUUGAACCGCAUGGUUCAACAGUGAAAGACGGUCUUGCUGUCACUUAUAGAUGGAUCCGCGUCGCAUUAGCUAGUUGGUAAGGUAACGGCUUACCAAGGCAACGAUGCGUAGCCGACCUGAGAGGGUGAUCGGCCACACUGGAACUGAGACACGGUCCAGACUCCUACGGGAGGCAGCAGUAGGGAAUCUUCCGCAAUGGGCGAAAGCCUGACGGAGCAACGCCGCGUGAGUGAAGAAGGUCUUCGGAUCGUAAAACUCUGUUAUUAGGGAAGAACAAAUGUGUAAGUAACUAUGUACGUCUUGACGGUACCUAAUCAGAAAGCCACGGCUAACUACGUG
rnacentral:rRNA from 1 species